rnacentral:rRNA from 1 species
AGCGAACGCUGGCGGCAGGCCUAACACAUGCAAGUCGAACGAACCUUUCGGGGUUAGUGGCGGACGGGUGAGUAACACGUGGGAACGUGCCUUUAGGUUCGGAAUAACUCAGGGACACUUGUGCUAAUACCGAAUGUGCCCUUCGGGGGAAAGAUUUAUCGCCGUUAGAGCGGCCCGCGUCUGAUUAGCUAGUUGGUUGAGGUAAUGGCGCACCAAGGCGACGAUCAGUAGCUGGUCUGAGAGGAUGAUCAGCCACAUUGGGACUGAGACACGGCCCAAACUCCUACGGGAGGCAGCAGUGGGGAAUCUUGCGCAAUGGGCGAAAGCCUGACGCAGCCAUGCCGCGUGAAUGAUGAAGGUCUUAGGAUUGUAAAAUUCUUUCACCGGGGACGAUAAUGACGGUACCCGGAGAAGAAGCCCCGGCUAACUUCGUG